AGUCAUUGUAGUAAUACAAGGCAGGACGGCUCAGUAACACGUAGCCAAUCUAACCUAUGGACGGGGAUAACCUCGGGAAACUGAGGAUAAACCCCGAUAGAUCAUUAUGCCUGGAAAGGUUUAUGGUCCAAAUGAUUCGUCGCCGUAGGAUGAGACUGCGGCCUAUCAGCUUGUUGGUGAGGUAAUGGCCCACCAAGGCUAUUACAGGUACGGGCUCUGAGAGGAGAAGCCCGGAGAUGGGUACUGAGACACGGACCCAGGCCCUAUGGGGCGCAGCAGGCGAGAAACCUUUGCAAUGUGCGCAAGCACGACAAGGUUAAUCCGAGUGUUUCCUGCUAAAGGAAUCUUUUGUUAGUCCUAAAAACACUAGUGAAUAAGGGGUGGGCAAGUUCUGGUGCCAGCCGCCGCGGUAAAACCAGCACCUCAAGUGGUCAGGAGGAUUAUUGGGCCUAAAGCAUCCGUAGCUUGCUCUGUAAGUUUCCGGUUAAAUCCAUUAGCUCAACUAAUGGGCUGCCGGAAAAACUGCAAAGCUAGGAAGUGGGAGAGGUAGACGGCACUCGGUAGGAAGGGGUAAAAUCCUUUGAUCUAUUGAUGACCACCUGUGGCGAAGGCGGUCUACCAGAACACGUUCGACAGUGAGGGAUGA
rnacentral:rRNA from 1 species